AUUGAACGCUGGCGGCAGGCCUAACACAUGCAAGUCGAACGAGUGGCGGACGGGUGAGUAAUGUCUGGUACACUGCCUGAUGGAGGGGGCUAACUACUGGCAACGGUAGCUAAUACCGCCUACCAUCAGCUGUGCCCAUAUGGGAUUAGCUAGUUGGUGGGGUAACGGCUCACCAAGGCGCCGAUCCCUAGCUGGUCUGAGAGGAUGACCAGCCACACUGGAACGGAGACACGGGCCAGAAUCCUACGUGAGGCAGCAGUGGGGAAUAUUGCACAAUGGGCGCAAGCCUGAUGCAGCCAUGCCGCGUGUAUGAAGAAGGCCUUCGGGUUGUAAAGUACUUUCAGCGGGGAGGCGUUACCCGCAGAAGAAGCACCGGCUAACGCCGUGCCAGCAGCCGCGGUAAUAC
rnacentral:rRNA from 1 species